rnacentral:lncRNA from 10 species
CUAAAAAGCCAAAAUGAUUCAAUGGCUUAAACACAUAAAUGUUUCUUUUUCUCUUGUGCAAUAAAACUCCAGAGGCGAUCAGUCCAGGGCAGUGCUGGGGACAUCAGACAUCCAGAUAUUUCUCUCUUGGCUCCACCAUCCUUAGCUCAUUGCCUCAUGAUCCAGCAUAGUUCUGGAGCUUCAGCCAACACACCCAUAUGCAAGAAGCAGAAAGGGCAUUAAAGUGCCCCUCUGCCUCCGCUUUCAAAAAGCACUUCUGAUGACAGCUAACCAGGUAGAAUUUAGUUCCAUAAUCAUACCUAAAAUGAAGCAGAGGCUUCAAAGACAGGGUGCAUUGCUGCCCUGUAUAAAAUAUUGAGAUUCUCUCACUUAAAAAGGAGAGAAUGAGUAUUAUAGUAGGCAUACAAUGAUCUUUGCUACAGAUGUCAGUGUUGUUGAUAUUGUUAUUAUUACAGAACAUGGGACUCUAGAAAAGGGGAGCGGAUCAGAGCCAAAGAGUCUGAAGGUCACCAAUGUAGCAGGUGACAAUUAAAAUUACAUAAGCAAUAAGUCCUAGUGAUAUAUUAUGCAACAUGAUGCCUAUGGUUAACAAAAAUUUGCUAAGAGGGUAGAAUUUAUAUUAGGUGUUCUUGUCAUAAAAUAAUAAAAUAUAGAGGGCAGGAGAAAACAUUUGGAGGUAAUAGCUAUGUUUAUGGCAAGGAAGGGAAGAAAAAAGAGAAGAAAAAGAAGAAAUGAAAAGAGUACAAAAUAUUUAUCAGUAAAUAGAUUUCAUCGACUUUGGAGGUCUUACAAAUCCCAAGUCCUCAGAAAAUUAAUUUUUCAGUCUAGUGAUAAAACAAAGCGUACACACUGGAAGUGGUUGAUUAGCCAAGUCACACAUCCCUGUUUCCAGCUAAGUGACUGUAUUAGUCUGUUCUCACAUUGCUAAUGAAGACAUACCUGAGACUGGAUAAUUAUAAAGGAAAGAAGUUUAAUUGACUCACAGUUCCACAUGGCUAGAGAGGUCUCACAAUCAUGGUGGAAGGCAAGGGGUAACAAGUUACAUCCUACAUGGUGGCAGGGAAGAGAGAAUUUGUGCAGGGGAGCUCCUCUUUAUAAAAUCAUCAGAUCUCGUGAGACUUAUUCACUACCACAAGGACAGCAUGGGUUAUACCCGCCCCCAUGAUUCAAUUACCUCCCACAGGGUCCCUCCCAUGACACGUGGGAAUUGUGGGAGGUACAAUUCAAGAUGAAAUUUGGGUGGGGACACAGCCAAACCGUAUCGGUGACCAAGAGAAUGAUCCAGAACAUAAGGGAGACAGGAGCACAAAACAGAGAGAAGUCACUGGCCUGGAGGAGACAAGAAAGGAGGUAAGGCUUCUAGGCUGGAUUUUGCAGGACCCAGGGCAGUUGGGACUUUUUAUUAGGCAUUGGACUAAUCCCAUAUGACUCUUUAGCCAUUUUACUACUUAACCAAGCUCUCAUUAGAAUGGCCUUUCUCUCCAGCGAGGGCUCAGUUGCACACAGCCAGCUUCACCCCUGUGUUUCCUUCACAGCUAUCGACCACCCUUGCCCAGGAAGAUGUCUGGAAACCAUGUGCCUAGAGAUGGGCAAGAGGGCAGUGUCCCAGCUGGCUGAGUCGGUGACCAGAUUUCAUUGUCUUUGGAAAGGAGUCAAGCUCCAACUCCACAGAAAAAUAACAGGGAGAUCAACUCAGAGGAAAUAACAGUGAAAAUCAGUGAGGACCAGAGUUUAUCUCCUACCCACUCUCUUUAAUUGCUGGACAGAAUCUGCUGCUUUUAAUAUAAGCUUCCCGGGGAAAGAAGGAAAGGGCCAAAGGCCCUGCUUGGCUGUACUCAGGAUCAGCUUGAAAACCAACCUCAUUUUCAGCAACCGGCUUCUCCCUGGUUGCAUGAACAUUUUGUUCGACACGACUCUCCUUCUUUCAUUUUCCUAAAGCAGCAGUUGCCAACCUUGGCUGCACAUUAAAAAUCACCUGGGAGAUCUUUUACAAUACUAAUGCCACUUUUAGAGCUUUAUAUUUAAUGGGUCUGCUGUGUGAACUGGCCCUCGAGAUUAUCUAAAUUUCCCUAGGUGACUCUAAUACGCAGCCAGUUGAGAGCUACUGUCCUGAAGCAUUGUUAACAGGACAUUUUUGUAUAUUUAGGGUUGCAAAGGCAUAAUUAUGGCAGAAGGUGAAAAACAACUUCAAAAUCAAUUUUAAAUAUUUGUGUCCUUAAAAAAUCCCUCUGGGCAUAGUGUCUCAUGCCUAUAAUCCCAGCAGUUUGGGAGGCCAAGAUGGGAGGAUCACGUGAGCCCAGGAGUUCAAGACCAGCCUGGGCAACAUAAUGAGACCCCUGUCACUAAAAAAAUUUAAAAAUGAUAAUAUAAAUAAAUAAAUAAAAAUCCCGUAGUCAGUCCUCUCCUUUGAGAAAGUCUUCCUAAAGAGAGAUUAACAGCAGCUGCAGCUUAAUUUUAUCCCCAUGGGACGCUCUCCUCCCCUCAAGGUCAUUUUCCUCCCCUCUCUGUCCUCCUGCCCCCAACUCUAGCAUUUCUGAUAUAUAAAACUCUGUCAUAAUACAGUAAGUAGUGCCCCAAAAACUGCAGGAGCAAAUCAUUCUGAGGUCAAUGAAAUGACCCACAUGAACCUCUGUAGUUGGCCAGCCAGGAACCUGAAAAACAGGCUGUGUCAUCCAAAAUACAUUCCAUCUGGUGGUAGUUUAACUGUCCAGCUAAAACAUCAAUAGGAACAUUCUGGAUGCUCUGGCCUGCUAGGAAUUCCGGUACUACAGCAGGGAUUCCGGGGUCUCUGGGUAGCUGGUAACCCUUCCUUCCACCAGCUCUGGAGAAAGUGGACAGGAGAGCACAGGGAAACCUCUGCCUCCCAACAUCCCACAAUGAGGAGCCUCCAUUCCCUGAUCUUUUGUCUGUGCUCCAGUUCCCUACUCCCCUACUUCCCUACCCACCACUUCACCCCCACCCCCUUGCAGAAGAGAGCUUUUGGUGAGCCUAAACAAAACUGAGGGGCAAGCCUGCAUACCUCAGACACAUUAUCCCUAUUCAACUUCACAAAAACUCCAUGAAGAAGGCUCUGUUCGUAUCCUAUUUCUCAAAAUACAAAAAACUUAAGUAACGUGCCCAGUGUUUUAGCUGGUAACCUGGAAUUAAACCAAAUUAAUUCCAGACACUUCUUCAUAAUAAAAGGGUUUCAGGCUUAUGGCCAUCUAGAUCAGGGACACUAAAGCUUUUGGAUGGCAUAUUCCAUAGGACAAUUUGGAGGAACUACCUCUACAUUGUAAAACUGACAUCCACUUAAUAGAAGAAGCAUUUGACAAAAUGUAAUAUUCGUUCAUGAUUAAAAAAAAACUCUCAACAAAAAAGUAUAGAAGGAACUUAACACAAUAUAGACAAUAUAUGAAAGGCCCACAGCUAACAUCAUAAUCAAUGAGGAAAAGCUGAUAGAUUUUCCACUAAGAUGUGGUAUAAGGAUACCCACUCUUACCACUUUUGUUUUCUUUUUUUCCAUUCACAUGAAUGUUCAUAGCAGCUUUGGUGGUAAUAGCCAAAAAUUAGAAGCAAUGCAAAUGUCCAUCAGUAUGUGGCAUAUUAAUACAAUGGCAUUACUCAGCAAUAAAAAGGAGCAAACUACUUGUACACUCAAGUGAAUGAAUGAAUCUCAAAACCAAAGAAGCUAGAUGUUGUGUGUGUGUGUGUGUACACAUCCAUCAGAUGAUGAUUCUAUUUAUAUGAAAUUCUAGAACAGACAAAACUUACCCUAUCAUGACAAAGUGAAAGCUGAUGAGGCCAGUGGCUGCCUGGGGCUAAAGGUGGGAAAGUGUUGCUGCAAAAAGUCAUGAGGAAACUGCUUGGGGGUGAUGCAAACAUUCUAGAUCUGGACUGUGAUGGCAGUUAUUUGUCUGGGUAGAGGUAUUUGUCAGAACUCAUUGAUAUAUAUUUUUUAAAUGGGCACAUUAUAUUGUAUGGAAAUUAUACCUCAAUAAAAUUUAUUUGAAAGAAGAAACAACAAAUAGAUCUUAUAAACAGUAAGAUCAGCCCGGUGCCGUGGCUCACGCCUGUAAUCCCAGCACUUUGGGAGGCCGAGGCGGGUGGAUUGCCUGAGGUCAGGAGUUCGAGACCAGCCUGGCCCAACAUGGUGAAACCCCAUCUCUACUAAAAAUACAAAAAUUAGCCGGGCGUGGUAGCUGGCGCCUGUAAGCCCAUCUACUCGGGAGGCUGAGGCAGGAGAAUUGCUUGAACCUGGGCGGCAGGGGUUGUGGUGAGCCAAGAUCACACCAUUGCACUCCAGCCUGGGCAACAAGAGCUAAACUCCAUCUCAAAAUAAAUAAAUAAAUAAGAUAUAUUUUCCAUGCUAAAGUAAACUAAUGUGUUUAUUUCUUUAAAAAAUAAUUUUUAUCAUAUUAUUCUACACUAGUCUUGGCUGAGAUUUUUUUUAAAUUAGUAUUUUGCAAUACAUAGCAUGGAGCUAUGAGAAAAGUAGGAUGUUCUCCUGAAUGAUAUUAAUUUAUAGGCAUUAAGGAGAUCCUUUUUCUUACAAUUCUUUUUAUGUGGGGCAUUGUUUUUUGUUUUUUGGUUUUAGACAGGGUCUCACUCAAUCACCCAAGGUGGAGUGCAGUGGCUCAAUCUCCUUCAUUUCAGCCUCAGCCUCUUGGACUCAAGCGAUCCUUCCAUCUCAGCUUCCCAAGUAGGUGGGACUACAGGUGUGCACCACCACACCUAGCUAAUUUUUGUAUUUCUUGUAGAGACGGCGUUUUGCCACAUUACCCAGGCUGGUCUCAAACUCCUAGACUCAAGUGAUCCUCCCACCUUGGCCUCCCAAAGUGCUGGGAUUACAGGCGUGAACAGGAGGAUCACUUUAAUGCCAGGAGUUCAAGGCUAGCCUGGGCAGCAUAGUGAGACCCUAGUCUCUACAAAAUAAUAACAAUAAGAAUAGAACCUGCAACAAAGCUUAAGUCCUCAGACUUUAUUGGGAAAGUCAAUGCCAGAGUUGCAAAAGUGAAGGAAAAAUAAAUGUGUCCUUGAAGGAGAAAAGGUAGCACAUUGCCCAGAAGGCCAUAGUUUCAGAAGAAAGCAUCACAUAUUGUUCACAGUCAAUAAGGAGGUCUUCCAAGCAGGUCAUAAGAAACUCUUGCUACUCAACACAGUGUGACGUAGAAGGAAAGGAAUGGAGUUUAUCUGCUGGUUCAUUCCAUUUUCCUGACUCUCAUUACUCUAAGUAUGUCUGUUAAGCAUUAAACUCCCACAUUUUGAGUUGUGUUAUUAGGUGCUGGGAAAGCCCUGUCUCAGGUCUCAUGGCACAAUAUUUUAUGAGUCUAGACAUGACAAGAAGAACUACAGCUACUGUGGGUCCCAUCAAGUCAGGCUUGGGCCCCUGAGCUGCUGAAGUUCCUUUGGUACUUUCACCACUUCUAUUCAACAUAGUACUAAAAGACUGAGCUAGAGCAAUUAGGCAUGAAAAAGAAAUUAAAAACAUCCACAUUGGAAAGGAAUAAGUAAAAUUAUCUCUUUGCAGAUGAUGUGAUCAUAUAUGUAGAAAACUCUGAAGAUUCAACUAAAAAACUGUUAGAACUAAUAAAUUCAGUGAAGUUGCAGGAUACAAAAUCAACAUAAAAAAAUCAGUGGUGUUUAUAUACACAAACAAUGAGCUAUCCAAAAAGGUAAUUAAGAAAGCAAUCCUGUUUACAAUAGCAACCAAAACAAGUAAAAAGUAAAAUGCUUAUGAAUAAACUUAACUAAAGAAGUGAAAGACUUGCACACGAAAAUUAAAAUCCAUUGAUGAGGAAAUUAAAGAAGAUACAGCUAAAUGGAAAGGCAUGUCAUGUUCCCAUGGAUUAGAAGAAUUAAUUGUUGGCUAAGCGUGGUGGCACAUGCCUGUAAUCCCAGCACUUUGGGAGGCCGAGGCAGGCGAACAGCUCAAGUCCAGGAAUUCAAGACCAACCUGGGCAACAUGGAGACUCCCCAUCUCUACGAAAAAUACAAAAAUUAGCCAGGCAUGGUGACAUGGAUCUGCAGUCACAGCUACUCAGGAAGCUGAGGUGGGAGGAUUGCUUGAGACCGGGAGGUCAAGGCUGCAGUGAGUCAAAAUUGUGCCACUGCACUCCAGCCUAUGUGACAGUGUGAGACCCCCUCUCCAAAGAAAAAUGAAAAAAAUAAUAUUGUUAAAAUGUCCGUACUACCCAAAGUGAUCUACAGGUUCAGUGUAAUCUCUAUCAAAAUCCCAAUGGCAUUCUUUACAGAAAAAAAAAUCCUAAAAUUCAUAAGGAACCACCAAAGAUUACAAAUAGCUAAAACAAUCUUGAGCAAGAAGAACAAAGCUGGAGACAUCAGAUUUCCUGAUUUCAAAAUAUAUUACAAAGCUACAGUAGUUAAAACAGGAUGGUACUAGCAAAAAAGAAGAAAUAAGAAGAAGCAGCAGGAGGAGGAGGAAGAGGAAGAAGAAGAAGAAGAACAGGAGGAGGAGGAGGAAAAGGAGGAGGAAGAAGGAGAAGAAGAAGAACAAUAACAAGAAGGAGGAGGAGGAGGAGAAGAAGAAGAAGACAGACAUAUAAACCAAUGGAACAGAAUAUAGAGUCCAGAAAUAAAUCCAUGCAUCUCCAGUCAACUAUUCUUCAUAAUGGCUGCCAAGAACACACGAAGGGGAAAGAAUAGUCUCUUCAACAAAUGAUGGUGGGAAAACUGGAUCUCCACAUGCACAAGAAUGAAAUUGGGCUCUUACUUCACACCAUCCACAGAAAUAAACUCAAAAUGGAUUAAAAACUUAAAUGUGAAACCUGAAAUUAUAAACUUCUAGAAAAAACAUAGGGGAAAAGCUUCUUGACACUGGUGUGGAUGAUUUCUUUUAAUAUGACACCAAAGUGAAGGCAACGAAAGCAAAAAUAGUCAAGUUGGAUUGAAUCAAACUAAAAAACCUUCUGCUCAGCAAAUGAAACAAUCAAAACAGUGAAGAAGGCACCUACUAAAUGGGAGAAAGUAUUUGCAAACUAUACAUCUGACAAGGGGUUAAUACCCAAAAUAUAUAAGGAACUCGAGCAACUCAGUAGCAAGAAAACAACCUGGUUUUAAAAUGACCAAAGGUCUUGAAAAGACAUUUCUCAAAAGAAGACAUACAAAUGGCUGACAGGUAUAUGGAAAAAAAAAAUGUUCGUUUAUCACCAAUCAUCAGGGAAAUACAAAUUAAAACUACAAUGUGUUAACUCCUCACACCUGUUAAGAUGGAUAUUACAAAAUAAACAAAAAAUAACAAAUGUUGGUGAGGUUGUGAAGAAAAGAGAACCCUUGCACAAUGUCGGUGGGGAUGUAAAUUAGUGCAGCCAUUAUGGAGAACAAUAUGGAGGUUCCUCAAAAAAUUAAAAAUAAAAACUACCAUACCAUCCAGCAAUCCCACUACUGGGUAUAUAUCCAAAGGAAAAUCAGUAUCUCAGAGAGAUGUCUGCAAUCCAUGUUCAUUGCAACAUUACUCACAAUAGCCAAGAUAUGGAAUCAACCUAAGUGUUCAUCAAUGGAUGAAUGGAUUAAAUAUAUAUAUAUGAAUAUUACUCAGCCUUUUAAAAAAAAGAAAAUUUUGUCAUUUGCAACAACAUGAAUGAAUCUGCAGGACAUCAUGCUAAGUGAAACACACCAGACACAGAGAGACAAACACUGCAUGAUCUCACUUAUAUGUGGAAUCUAAAAUAGCCUAACUCAUAGAAACAGAGCAGGAUAGUGGUUUUCAGGGGUUGAGGCAGUGGGGGAAAUGGGGAGAUGUUGGUCAAUGGGUACAAAGUUUCAGUUUUGCAGGAUGAAUAAGUUUUGGAGAUCUAAUGUACAGCAUCAUGACUAUAGUUAAUAAUACUCCAUUACAUGUUUAAAAUUCACUAAGAGGGUAGAUUUUAAGUGUUCUCAACACACACACACACACACACACACACACACACAAAGGUAACUAUGUGAGGUGAUGGACAUGUUUAUUAGUUUGAUUGUGAUAAUCAUUUCAUAAUGUAUAUACAUACAUUGAAAACAUCAAGUUAUAUACCUUAAAUAUAUACAGUUUGUGUUUGUCAAUUAUACCCUGAUAAAGCUAAAAAUACAACAAAAUAAAAUUGACAUUUAAAAUAUUUUCUAAAGUUUAAAUGGUGGCCAAAAAAUGCACUUUUUAGGGUUUAAUGUUGACAUCUAAUAAAAUGUUAAAGGCAUCCAAUGAAAGCUAAAUAUCAUAAUGAUUUGAUAACAGCCAUUAUUCUUCUUGAAAAUACAAACACAAGUUCCUCUUGGAUAGUGGGAAAUUUACAUCAUUUUUUUGUCUUUGAAUUCCUAUUGCCAUUUCAUGUUCCUACUGAGUUUUAUCCUAGUAACACAUUUUUAUGCUUGAAAGUAUUUUCUUGAUCUCAAAUUAUAGUUCUCUCUGAUACAGAUUUGCAUAUAAAUUCAAUUAUUUUAGUUUUUAUUUAUUAAGACCAUAAGGUUCUAAGUGAUGGCUGGAAGGAAGGAAAGGAAGGAAGGAAGGAAGGAAAGUAGGUUCUGGAUUGAGUUAUUAUUACAAUUAUUACUAUACAAUUAAUAAAAUAUUUUGAUAACUAUUAUUAAGAGUAAAAUGUUAUUGAAUGUGCAUAUCUUCUUACUAAAAUGAAUAGGCUCCCUCUCAAGUAGUUCAUGUAUAAAUAAAUUAAUAUUGCCAAUAAUCAUAUUUAGAUGAUCCAUAAUCAAAAUUAUUAGUAAUGUUCUAGUAGCUGACAAUUUAAGAUGAUCUUCAUUUUGACAAAGGCAAAGAAUUGGAAAGUACCUAAUUUUCAAAAAUAUUUGUUACAUAGUCACUAGUCAGUUUCUUUCUCAAUUUCUGGGAAAUAUGCUAAAAAAAUUUUUUUACCAAGUCUUAUUAAAGGAACUCUUAGUUAUACCACUUUCUCUUCUGCCUAGAAGACCUAAAGAAUGAGUGUUGAGAUUAACUGAAAAGAAUUGCUUCAGUUUACCUACAUGAAAGGAGAAAAGAAGUCAUUUAAGCAUUCAUGAUUCUUUUUUUUUUUUAUUUUAAGUUUAAGUUCUGGGGUACUUGUGCAGGAUGUGCAGGUUUGUUACAUAGGUAAACGUGUGCCAUGGUGGUUUGCUGCACCUAUCAACCCAUCACCUAGGUAUUAAGCCCUGCAUGCAUCAUCUAUUUUUCCUAAUGCUCUUCCUCCCCCAGUGCCACACCCAACAGACCCCAGUGUGUGUUGUUCCCCUCUGGCAUUCACAUUUCUGACUGAGGCUGUGUUUGCUUUGUUCUUACUGACUCUAGAGAAAGAUACAGUCUUGGACAACGUUUUGAAAAUAGAAGAGGCAAGGUUAUUAAAUGAUCAUUGCUAUCAUUCCCACCAUGCUUCUCUUCAAAAUUUCUAAAUUUAGAACAUUUGAAUACUUUGUUUUCUAAUCCAUGUUUCAUCCAUAACAAAAAUAUGUGUAAAACGGGCAUAAACAGGAAGCCAAUGGUGAGAUUAAAGUUUCUCAAUGAUCAUUAAGGAAGAUUUUCCUGCAACCAAGUUUUAGAAUUGUCCCUUUGUCUGGCAUCCUAUAAGUUUCUGAGUCUGCAGAUUUGGGAUGGGUGAAGGGUAUGGCUUUUAUAAUUAAGGGGAAAGGCUGCCUGUGAGCAUAGCAGUGGGGAGGCUGAACUGGCAAGUCAAGAACUGCAUACAUGUGGUAAUUCAACAUCUAGAGAUUGAUGCCUUUAAAACAUCUGUAUCCAUGUAUCCAUCACCCUUGGAAAGCCUUGGUUAGAACCUCUAGUGAAGCCCAUUCACAACAUUCAGGGUGGACCAAACUCUGCUUCAAUAUCCUGUAUCUCAGGGAACUCAUCUUCUCCCCAAGAAGUUUGUUUCACUUUCAGCCUACUGUAAUCAUUAGAAAAUAUCACAGGAGACUCUUGCCAAGUGAAAAAUCAAUCAACUGAUAAGUUAAAUUUGAGUGUUAAGUUUUUUAAAGUGUGGACUUUUUAUUUGCCAAUAAAUUCUAGCUUUGCUUCAUAACUGUUGGAAGAUUUUGGAUGACUGUCAUCAUCUUGCAUAAUCUCAGUUUAUUCAUCUGUAAACAGAAAUGAUAACACUGACCUUUCAGAGUAACCAUUCUUAAAGAUUACAGAUAAUGUGUGAAAAGCCCCCAGCACAAUGCGGGGCGUGAUACAAACACUAAAUGAAGAAUUAUUGUCAUUUAACUAAUUCCUGAGCCUUCUAACUGUCCCAUCAUGCAGCUCACAUUUCUAGUACUGUUCCAGGAAAUGGUAAAACACUUAGUCAAAUGCCUCACAGCAGUGCAGAUACACUAUUCUGCAGUAUCCUCCCAUAGCCCAGCACAGUAAGCCUUUUCCAAAGGAAUGGAAGUUCGUAAGGCAUGGCUUAUUCUUUGUGAACUCUUGUUAGCUGCUGGUUUUCAUCACUUUUAUUUAUUAUUUGUUUAUUUAUUUGUUUGUUUUUGAGAUAGGGUUUUGCUCUGUCACCCAGGCUGGAGUACAGUGGCGUGGUCAUAGCUCACUGCAGCCUUGAACCCUUGGGCUCAAGGGAUCCUCCUGUUUCAGCCUCUCCAGUAACUGGGACUACGGGUGCAUGCCACCAUGUCCAGCUACUGUUUUUUGUUUUGUUUUGUUUUGGUGGGGGGGUGGUAGAGACAGGGUCUCACCAUGUUGCCCAGGCUAAUCUGAAACUCCUGAGCUCAAGCGAUCCUGCCACUUUGGUCUCCCAAAGUGUAGGGAUUACAGGCGUGAGCCACCAUGCCUGGGCAUCACUUUUUUUUUUAAUACAUGCUCCAGGUGACCAUGUUAAUAAUUCCUCUUAAAACGUUGCCCUGUAUUAACAUAAACUCAUUGGUUAAUAGCAUAAAAAAUCCACCUUCUCUUUCAAAAAUUCAUUCGUCCAUUAUCUCUUCCAUGUUUCACUAUUCCCCAAAAUUAUCAAGGCGGAUAUGACAAUCCUCUGCACAAGCUUCUUCCAUUUGCUUGGGUGUCAUUUCUUGGACUAAACAUGCACUUCUCCACUGAGUGAGGAAUAAGAAAUAGUGGGUCUUUUGAGGGUUGUUUUAUUUUUACAAUAACUGCUUUCAACCAUAUUCUGACAAAUAUCCCUUUGCUUUCUCUUAAUCAUGUCUUGGGCAGACCAAAGAAUUUCCUUGUCAUUUUCCAUAAACAAAAAUUCAGUCUAUUUCAACAUGUCAAUCUCCUUUCUCAUUUAAAACUUUCCCCAUCCUGUCAUCAGCUAAAAUGUGGGAGGAGGACUUGGGGGUCAGGGAGAGCGGGAAGGGAUAUUGUCUACCCUUCAGCUCUUCUUCCUCCUCCAGCACCUCGGAGGGUCUGGGUGGGGAUUCAUGUUCUAGGCC